GUUGCCAUCGGGUAAAGCCGGGCACUCUAAGGGGACUGCCAGCGACAAGUUGGAGGAAGGAGAGGAUGACGUCAAGUCAUCAUGGCCUUUAUGCCUAGGGCCACACACGUGCAACAAUGGCCGGUACAGACGGAGGCAAUGCCGAGAGGCGGAGCAAACCCGAGAAAACCGGUCCCAGUUCGGAUUGAGGUCUGCAACUCGACCUCCAUGAAGUCGGAAUCGC
rnacentral:rRNA from 1 species